rnacentral:rRNA from 1 species
GUGGGGAAUAUUGGACAAUGGGCGAAAGCCUGAUCCAGCCAUGCCGCGUGUGUGAAGAAGGUCUUCGGAUUGUAAAGCACUUUAAGUUGGGAGGAAGGGCAGUAAGUUAAUACCUUGCUGUUUUGACGUUACCGACAGAAUAAGCACCGGCUAACUUCGUGCCAGCAGCCGCGGUAAUACGAAGGGUGCAAGCGUUAAUCGGAAUUACUGGGCGUAAAGCGCGCGUAGGUGGUUCAGUGAGUUGGAAGUGAAAUCCCCGGGCUCAACCUGGGAACUGCUUUCAAAACUGCUGAGCUAGAGUACGGUAGAGGGUGGUGGAAUUUCCUGUGUAGCGGUGAAAUGCGUAGAUAUAGGAAGGAACACCAGUGGCGAAGGCGACCACCUGGACUGAUACUGACACUGAGGUGCGAAAGCGUGGGGAGCAAACAGGAUUAGAAACCCGUGUAGUCC